rnacentral:rRNA from 1 species
UACGUAGGGUGCAAGCGUUAAUCGGAAUUACUGGGCGUAAAGCGUGCGCAGGCGGCCAUGCAAGACAGAUGUGAAAUCCCCGGGCUCAACCUGGGAACUGCAUUUGUGACUGCAUGGCUAGAGUACGGUAGAGGGGGAUGGAAUUCCGCGUGUAGCAGUGAAAUGCGUAGAUAUGCGGAGGAACACCGAUGGCGAAGGCAAUCCCUGGACCUGUACUGACGCUCAUGCACGAAAGCGUGGGGAGCAAACGAGG